UUGUUAUGUGCUGUCCAGUCAGUGAAAAGACAACACAUGAUUACUAUCAAAUCGACCUCAGUGCACAGAUAGAGAAUAAAGGGUGUAAUGUUUAGUGUAAGAUAAAGUAGAGUAAAGUCCGAUUAAAGAUAGUCCGUUGCUCUCCAUUGAGGUAGAUGGGAGGUUAGGACCGCUCUCUAGUUGGUGCGAGGAUGGUUCAGUUGCUUGAAAACAGUUGGAAGAAACUGUCCCUGAAUCUGGAGGUGUACACUUCUAUACCUCGUGCCUGACGGGAGCGGGGAGAAGAAGGAGUGACUGGGGGUCACGGGGAGAACGUAAAAACUCCGCACAGAAGGCACCCGCCGAGUCGUUUCCAUCGUGUGAUGUCACAAUGCCCAAUGCUCGCAGAUGUCCAAUCACAAUGCCCAAUGCUCGCAGAUGUCCAAUCGGAAUGGAUCCAUUUACAUGUACGGCUGCCGGCCUCCUUUCUUCCUUCGCUUCACUGCAACUCCGAAACCAGACGCAGAAUCACCGACAUCUUUUCCAUUUCGAUUAUGGAGUCGGUGCGCAGCAGCAAAUCUCCUUAGUUUAGAGAUACAGUGCAGAAGCAAGCCCUUCGGCCCACUGAGUCCACGCAGACGAGGGAUCGCAGCAUACUAGCACUAUCCUACACACGAGGGACAAUUUACAAUUGUUACCAAAGCCAAUUAACCUACAAACCUGUACAUCUUUGGAGUGUGGGACGAAACUGGAGCACCCAGAGAAAACCCAUGCGAUCUCAGGGAGAACGUACAAACUCCGUACAGGCAGCACCCAUAGUCAGGAUCGAACCUGGGUCUCUGGCGCUGUCGGGCAGCAACUCUACCACAUGCGUCACCAUGCCGCUCCCCUGACAAUGUAGUAACAAUGUUAUCAACUUGAAAGUUUCUCUCUCCACAAUCGCUGCCCGGCCUGCUGCGUGUUUCCAGCGCGGUGUGUUUUUAUUCCCGGUACUCCACGUUGCGUGAUGAGUCACUGUGUGUGACUGACAAGAACUUGCAUUAAAAGGCACAAAG